CUGUGCAUAGUUCACCAAUUGUUACACAGAUGCCGUCGAUCUGUACACCAAUACAAAACAUUUGCCGUUCAGGUGAAAGAAAAUUUUGGUUUUAAGCGUGCUUAAUAUUUGCUGUUGAACUGUGAAGGUAAAUUUGUAGUGGAAGUUGUACUUUUUCCGCGUAAUUUUUCUGCAUGUUGCUUGCAUGUACUCCUGCAGCUUGAAGCAACAAUUACAUAACUUCGUGUGCCUUUCAUUCAUAUGGAAGAUUGGUUAGUACAGUGCAGUGUCCUGAUGUAAGUAGAAUAUGGCUUCCUAUCCAAAUUCCAGGUUAAAUGAUGACAGGUGUUGCAUUGCAUCAUCAGGAAACACUGGGCAGCUCUGUUACCCUUAUGGUGUAGAUUAAUGUUAUGAAAGAGCCCUUGGUAUAGCAGUGCACCAUCCACAUGUUCUUAAUUUGAAAAAUGUUGAAGCAGUCAAGAACGUUUUGGAAGUGAGCAUACAUUAGAUAGACUAAGAAGAUCGUGACAGUUCAGAUGAUCCUGUAUUCAUUCCUAAUGACUUGAGUCAAAAUUAUGAUACACAUAUAAGGUGGAAUGAUUCACCUUUAAUAUGAUUAUUAAUUAAAAAUAAUGGAGAAACUAAUACAAACAAUAAUUAUGGUGUUACAACUGACAUAAUAUGAAUAUGGAAUUACUAGAAAUAGGUAAUGUAGGACUCGGAUGAAGAGGAGGAGAGAAGAAGUAACCCAUCAUAAUUGAAGAGAAAAACUGGCCAUAAGAACUAACUAUGAUAAGAAUAUGAAAAGUAAGAAUGAUUAGAGUCUGGCCAAGGAACAAGGCAAGAUGCCAGCUCAGAGUAAUCCUGCUACCUUUAAUUUAAGGAGCAUUUUGCAGGUACCUUCAUUUGACAUUAAGGAAAGCCAUUGUUUCUGCUGGAAUGAGCUAAGUUCAAGAAGAGGAAAUAAUGAAGUGGGAACCUCAGCUACAAUGGAUACAGUAAUUACCUCCUGAAAUUGUGGGUUUUAUUAUUUUUGGACACAUGCUGGACCAGAAUAAAAAUAAAAGUUGGGCUGCGGUGAUGUAUGCUGUUUCAAAUUCACAUGUAAGAGUACCCAAACAAAUUUUUAGAAUGCAGGUGUUCAUGCAUGGAAUGUGACAGUGCACUCUGAAGUUGAAAGGAAAAGGUUAAUAAGUCAGUGGACUGCAUGGCAGGCUGGAUCAAAGUAUUCAGAGAUGCUGGGAAAGGCAGAAGAUGUAACAGAGGUGAAGGAACUUAGUCAUAAAAAGUUCUUUAACUUAACAAAGGUUGUCUCACGAGUUGAUCAUGGAUUGCGCCAUAUGGCAAACUGUAUCAAGGUUAAAAAUAAAAUAUCUUGAAUAUGAAAAGAAAACCCAAAUGUUUUUUUUUAUAGAUGUCACCAUGCUGACUAAGGGGUUGGCCAUGCCCGACAUCCAAACCUGGAGAAAGUGUGCAAAAACGUAUACUCAUCAUGAAAGAAAAGAAACAAGGUUUUAUAUGAAAAUUUCAACUGUUAUAUUAAAAGAAGCAAGACCUUGUGCACAUUUGCGAGACAGAAGUAAUACCUGAGGAGUCUCAUGGAUGGUGUGCUCUGCAUCUGGUUAAGGGAGCUGCAGAGGACUUUCUUCUGGAACUACACAGCAGUGGCAUCAAGGAAGAUCAUUAAAUUAAUAAUAACCAUCCAUCCACAUUCAUUCUGAUAAUUAAAUGUGUUGCAAAAUGUUUAGAUUUCUUUACUGUACCUGACAAAUAAGAAUAUAUUUUUGUGCAAAAAGUACUUUUGACUGCUAAAGCAUGAGAUAUAAAUUUGUGUACCGUAUAACAAUGUUUGUGUUCAUAUAUUCAUUGAAACAAAAAAAAAAUAGUUUUCCUUAAGUGAUGAAGUUUAUAUCAUGACCUUCUAGAAUGUAACUACUGACUUUUGUCCUGGUCCCAACAGAGUACACCUUAAUUUUGUAAUUUGAGUGUUAUUCCUUCCUUUCAAGCCUGCUGGGAUAUAUAUGGCCCAGAAAUAUACACGUAGUUUCUUUGUCUCUUGGGAUCUGUAUGCCCCACACAAAUGCAUACAUUUAACCCAUUUCAAUCAUUUCUGUUUAGUUUUUAAAA